rnacentral:rRNA from 1 species
GAUGAACGCUAGCGGCAGGCCUAAUACAUGCAAGUCGUACGAUAUACUAACAGGUAGCAAUACCCGCUAGUAAAAAGUGGCGAACGGGUGCGUAACACGUAUGCAACCUACCCAAGUCUGGGGAAUAGCCCCUCGAAAGAGGGAUUAAUACCCCAUAACACAGCUGAACGGCAUCGUUCUACUGUCAAACCCCUCCGGGGACUCGGAUGGGCAUGCGCGACAUUAGCUAGUUGGUGAGGUAACGGCUCACAAAGGCUUCGAUGUCUAGGGGAUCUGAGAGGAUGAACCCCCACACUGGUACUGAGACACGGACCAGACUCCUACGGGAGGCAGCAGUAAGGAAUAUUGGUCAAUGGGCGUAAGCCUGAACCAGCCAUGCCGCGUGCAGGACGAAAGCCCUAUGGGUCGUAAACUGCUUUUGACGAUGAAUAAAACCGGGUACGUGUACCCGACUGAAUGUAAUCGCAGAAUAAGGAUCGGCUAACUCCGUGCCAGCAGCCGCGGUAAUACGGAGGAUCCAAGCGUUAUCCGGAUUUAUUGGGUUUAAAGGGUGCGUAGGCGGCCAUAUAAGUCAGGGGUGAAAGACUCUCGCUCAACCAGAGAAGUGCCCUUGAUACUGUAUGGCUCGAAUGCAGCUGAAGUAAGCGGAAUGUGACAUGUAGCGGUGAAAUGCUUAGAUAUGUCACAGAACUCCCAUCGCGAAAGCAGCUUACUAAACUGAUCAUUGACGCUCAGGCACGAAAGCGUGGAGAGCAAACAGGAUUAGAUACCCUGGUAGUCCACGCCCUAAACGAUGAUAACUCGAUGUUAGCAAUAUACCGUUAGCGUCUAAGCGAAAGCGUUAAGUUAUCCACCUGGGAAGUACGCCGGCAACGGUGAAACUCAAAGGAAUUGACGGGGGCCCGCACAAGCGGAGGAGCAUGUGGUUUAAUUCGAUGAUACGCGAGGAACCUUACCCGGGCUUGAAAGUUAGUGUAAAACGCAGAAACGCGUCCCUCAGAAAUGACACAAAACUAGGUGCUGCAUGGCUGUCGUCAGCUCGUGCCGUGAGGUGUUGGGUUAAGUCCCGCAACGAGCGCAACCCCUAUGUUUAGUUGCCAGCACGUAACGGUGGGGACUCUAAACAGACUGCCUGUGUAAACAUGGAGGAAGGUGGGGACGACGUCAAGUCAUCAUGGCCCUUACGUCCGGGGCUACACACGUGCUACAAUGGGCAGCACAAUGGGUCGCUAAACGGUAACGUUAUGCUAAUCCCCUAAAACUGCUCUCAGUUCGGAUUGAGGUCUGCAACUCGACCUCAUGAAGUCGGAUUCGCUAGUAAUCGCGUAUCAGCAAUGACGCGGUGAAUACGUUCCCGGGCCUUGUACACACCGCCCGUCAAGCCAUGGAAGCCGGGAGUACCUAAAGUCGAUAACCCUAAAGGAGUCGCCUAGGGUAAUACCAGUAACUGGGGC